GCGCCCAUGAUGUAACGGCGAGCCUACUGCCUUGCCAUGGCGGAUGUGCGGGUUCGAUUCCCGCUGGGCGCU
rnacentral:tRNA from 1 species